rnacentral:tRNA from 1 species
GCCCAGGUGGCGGAAUUGGCAGACGCGCUACUUUGAGGUGGUAGUGAGUAACAUCGUGCAGGUUCGAGUCCUGUCCUGGGCA